UUAGGAAUAUUCGUCAAUGGGGGAAACCCUGAACGAGCAAUGCCGCGUGAGUGAUGAAGGCCCUAUGGGUUGUAAAACUCUGUUGUAAAGGAAGAACACCUAGUAUAGGAAAUGAUGCUAGGCUGACGGUACUUUACCAGAAAGCCCCGGCUAACUACGUGCCAGCAGCCGCGGUAAUACGUAGGGGGCGAGCGUUAUCCGGAUUUAUUGGGCGUAAAGGGUGCGUAGGCGGUAUGUUAAGUCUAAAAUCAAAGCCCGAGGCUUAACCUCGGUUCGUUUUAGAAACUGGCAAACUAGAGUGCAGUAGAGGCAAGUGGAAUUUCUAGUGUAGCGGUUAAAUGCGUAGAUAUUAGAAGGAACACCAGUGGCGAAGGCGGCUUGCUGGGCUGUAACUGACGCUGAGGCACGAAAGCGUGGGGAGCAAAUAGG
rnacentral:rRNA from 1 species